rnacentral:rRNA from 1 species
GAUGAACGCUGGCGGCGUGCCUAAUACAUGCAAGUCGAGCGAACGGACGAGAAGCUUGCUUCUCUGAUGUUAGCGGCGGACGGGUGAGUAACACGUGGAUAACCUACCUAUAAGACUGGGAUAACUUCGGGAAACCGGAGCUAAUACCGGAUGAUAUUUUGAACCGCAUGGUUCAAAAGUGAAAGACAGUCUUGCUGUCACUUAUAGAUGGAUCCGCGCUGCAUUAGCUAGUUGGUAAGGUAACGGCUUACCAAGGCAACGAUGCAUAGCCGACCUGAGAGGGUGAUCGGCCACACUGGAACUGAGACACGGUCCAGACUCCUACGGGAGGCAGCAGUAGGGAAUCUUCCGCAAUGGGCGAAAGCCUGACGGAGCAACGCCGCGUGAGUGAUGAAGGUCUUCGGAUCGUAAAACUCUGUUAUUAGGGAAGAACAUAUGUGUAAGUAACUGUGCACAUCUUGACGGUACCUAAUCAGAAAGCCACGGCUAACUACGUG